UAGGGAAUCUUCCGCAAUGGGCGAAAGCUUGACGGAGCAACGCCGCGUGAGUGAUGAAGGUCUUCGGAUCGUAAAACUCUGUUAUUAGGGAAGAACAAAUGUGUAAGUAACUAUGCACGUCUUGACGGUACCUAAUCAGAAAGCCACGGCUAACUACGUGCCAGCAGCCGCGGUAAUACGUAGGUGGCAAGCGUUAUCCGGAAUUAUUGGGCGUAAAGCGCGCGUAGGCGGUUAUUUAAGUCUGAUGUGAAAGCCCACGGCUCAACCGUGGAGGGUCAUUGGAAACUGGAAAACUUGAGUGCAGAAGAGGAAAGUGGAAUUCCAUGUGUAGCGGUGAAAUGCGCAGAGAUAUGGAGGAACACCAGUGGCGAAGGCGACUUUCUGGUCUGUAACUGACGCUGAUGUGCGAAAGCGUGGGGAUCAAACAGG
rnacentral:rRNA from 1 species